rnacentral:rRNA from 1 species
AGAGCGAACGCUGGCGGCAGGCCUAACACAUGCAAGUCGAACGGACUCUUCGGAGUUAGUGGCGGACGGGUGAGUAACACGUGGGAACGUGCCUUUAGGUUCGGAAUAGCUCCUGGAAACGGGUGGUAAUACCGAAUGUGCCCUUCGGGGGAAAGAUUUAUCGCCUUUAGAGCGGCCCGCGUCUGAUUAGCUUGUUGGUGAGGUAAUGGCUCACCAAGGCUACGAUCAGUAGCUGGUCUGAGAGGAUGACCAGCCACAUUGGGACUGAGACACGGCCCAAACUCCUACGGGAGGCAGCAGUGGGGAAUCUUGGCGCAAUGGGCGAAAGCCUGACGCAGCCAUGCCGCGUGUAUGAUGAAGGUCUUAAGGAUUAGUAAAAUACUUUCACCGGCGAAAGAUAAUGACUGUAGCCGGAGAAGAAGCCCCGCUAACUCGUGCCAGCAGCCGC